UUUAUGGAGAGUUUGAUCCUGGCUCAGAGUGAACGCUGGCGGCGUGCCUAAUACAUGCAAGUCGAACGAUGAAGCUUCUAGCUUGCUAGAGUGCUGAUUAGUGGCGCACGGGUGAGUAACGCAUAGGUCAUGUGCCUCUUAGUUUGGGAUAGCCAUUGGAAACGAUGAUUAAUACCAGAUACUCCCUACGGGGGAAAGAUUUAUCGCUAAGAGAUCAGCCUAUGUCCUAUCAGCUUGUUGGUAAGGUAAUGGCUUACCAAGGCUAUGACGGGUAUCCGGCCUGAGAGGGUGAACGGACACACUGGAACUGAGACACGGUCCAGACUCCUACGGGAGGCAGCAGUAGGGAAUAUUGCUCAAUGGGGGAAACC
rnacentral:rRNA from 1 species